UACGUAGGGUGCAAGCGUUAAUCGGAAUUACUGGGCGUAAAGCGUGCGCAGGCGGUUUUGUAAGUCUGACGUGAAAUCCCUGGGCUCAACCUGGGAAUUGCGUUGGAGACUGCAAGGCUAGAAUCUGGCAGAGGGGGGGAGAAUUCCACGUGUAGCAGUGAAAUGCGUAGAGAUGUGGAGGAACACCGAUGGCGAAGGCAGCCCCCUGGGUCAAGAUUGACGCUCAUGCACGAAAGCGUGGGGAGCAAACAGG
rnacentral:rRNA from 1 species